UCUCGCGCCGGUGCCCCCACCCCAGGAAUUUAACCCCCUCCCCGCCAAGAGCGGCGCCGUAGCGCUGCAUUCCGGCCCGCGGGGACCCGGCAGAUGGGGUCGGGAAGACCGGGGGAGGGGCAAGAUCGCUCCAGCCCUUCACGCGAGCCCGCGGGCCGUGCGUUCGGGAAGGCAGAGCUGGCAGCUUGACCCCGGCUCACCCUCCCGCGCCGAGCACCCCCUGUGCCGGGAAGUUCGUCCCGGAAUCUAACCUCGAUGCCCUCCAGCUGCACCACGGAGGCGGGGCCAGGGUAGGAGGCUGCCUUGAAAUCGGGAAGCUGGGCGCGCCUGGCCCCCAACUUGCCGCUGAAAAGACUUCCACCUGCUCCCCUAGAGCGAUCCUACGCGGAGGGACCGAGCCCCGCACCCCAGCCUCGCUUGCCACCCCCAUCCUGUGGCCUGGGCUGCUGACUUGGGGCUGUAUAUAUUUUUUGGUGCUGGGGACUGAAUCCUGGGACUCAGGAGGCAUGCUAAGCACAUGCUCCACCCCUGAGCUACACUCCCCAACCCUUGGACAAGAAUUACAGUACCUCCAAUGUGCCUGAAAGAAUGCAGACUGUGGGCAGUAUGAUGACUGCUUUCCUGAUUGAGCCAGCAAAGAAGCAAUGUAUGAAUUAAGAACCCCAGAGCCACACUGCCUUAUGCUCCUGGUUACCAUUGGUAUGGAUUCGGGUGGUUUGUUUUUACAAGACUGUACAACUGGUAUAUAAACAUUUGGCCGCCUUUAACAGUUCUUCUUCACAGUUCUAUGCUUGGCAGCAUGUAUGCUAAAACCUGAAAAAUGGGCAAAAAGAAUCUGUAUUCUUAGGAAUACAUGAGAUGGAAAGAAAUAGUCUACCUAAAAUAAUAUUGCAAAUUAUACUUACAUAGAUUUCACAAUUUCUUGAUUCAAGAAAAUGAAAAUUCCAAAGUUGGCUACUGUAAAAUGUGGCAUAAAAAUAUUUCUAGGAGACAUCUGUAUUUUAAAUUAUUCUACACAUGUAAAUGAAUAACAAUUGUCUUUGAAAUUCAUCUCUAAUACUGAAAUAGAACAACAGACUGCCAUUAAGUUUCUUAAACUUUUUUAAGUUAUCAGAUAUUUACAAAUACGAUAUAAUUUGUAUCAAAAAAGGACAUUUUUAACUAUAUCUGCUGCUUUCACUGGGGCUGCGGUGAUGAGAGUAACUUCGGUCACUUUCACUGUCAGAGCCAUAAGAUCUACAACUCCUGUAUAACAAAACAAAACAUACGAAAACCUUUUAACUAUCCACCCUUUCAAUUCCUCUUGGAGCUUUGUUUUUGAUAUAAGUGACUUCAAAACACUAUUGCUACAGCAAGCGCAGGGGAUAGACAAGUACAGUUCUGACUAUGGCUUUUACUAUGGACUUUUCAGGAUGUUUAAAAUGAUAUAUGGUAGCAAUAUCAAGAUUAAGAUAAAAUAAAGAACUAGGCACAAUGGCACAGGCCUGUAAUUCCAGCACUUGGGAAGCUGAGGCAGAUGGAUUUCAAAUUCAAAGUCUCACAAUUUAGCACAAAAAAAACUAAAAAGGCCUGGGGACGUGGCUCGGUAGUAAAGCAUACCUCAGUUCAAUCCCCAGUACCAAAAAUCAAAACAAAAAACUUCAUACUUGUGACAUUUACUUGAAAUCCAUUCAUGCGGAGAAGCAAAAUAAUUUUCUGUGUUACCCAAAAUGAUCAAUAUUUGAUUAGCUAGUCUAAGGAAGUUAAGUAGGGGGAAGAUGCAUAAAUAGUUUCAUUGAAGGAAUGGACACCAAAAUUUGGGCCCAAUGAGGUGUAGAAAUGGAUCUGUACAUGAACGAGGCCACUGGGAUAUUGACUCAAGAGGACCUGGUCACAGGUCACCCUUCAGUUAGUUAAAAAAAUAUAUUGAGUGUCACAGUAGGCAUCAAAGGGGAGGUGGGGCAGGUGACUAUAAUAUAGUUUCUGGGGCUCAAGGAUAAUAUAGAAUAGUGUGCAAAGCAAUUAAAUUAGAGGCAAUGAGAACCCCAGGGGAGCAAAGUCUGCUUCAGAGGCACAUUGGAGGGGCUGUAUUUCCUGACUCCCAGGGGCAGUGGAGUUGCAGUAGAGACCUGCAGGGUAGGUAGGAUUAGUUAUUUUAAGAGGCAAAAUGGGGGAUGGUGGAGAGGGCACUUAUGUCUCUAGGCAGAAAGAAAGGUUUCAGCACAUCAAAGGAGAGACACAGGGAUCAAGAGUCAGAGAUGGUGUUCAUAAGUGGUGGAACCUUGCAUGCAAUGACAAGGAGCCUGAGCCUAACUGAAGACAGCAGUGAGUCCCUGAACCAUCUUAGCAAUAGAAUGUCCAGAUCACUGUAAGGAAACAUUACAAAAGUCACCAUAAAGACUUUUGCAGUAGCCAAAAUACAUUACAUACAACAUAAUAUAUGUGUGUGUGUGUGUGUGUGUAUUUGCAUGAAAAAUAUAUUUUACUAAAUAAUUGACUCUAAACCUCCAUUCUGCCACUGGAACAAUGAUGAUUAACAUUUCUUUCUUUUUUUUCCCUUGUGUCCAGUAGAUUGAACCUAGAGGUGCUUUACCACUGGGCUACAUCCCCAGCCCUUUUUUGCUGACUGUUGAUUGAAUGACCGAUUGACUGAGACAGGGUCUCACUAGGUUACUAGGGCCUUGCUAAAUUUCUGGGGCUAGCCACGAACUUGCAAUCCUCCUGUGUCAGCCUCCAGAGUCAUUGGGAUUACAGGCAUGUGCCACCAUGCUUGGCUUGAUAUUAACAUUUAUUUUAUUUCUUUGUUUUAAAAAAUGACAAAUUGGCUAUUUCUAGCAAGUAACCCAACUUAAGAAAGUAGGACAUGGUUUGUUGUUUUUUCCCUUUACUCCUUCUAAAAGAAGUAUUUGUUCAAUGAUAUGUGAAUACUUAAAAGAACCCAGUUUAGAUUAAGAACUAGAUGUGCUCUAAAGGACCCACCUGGACCGCCUGUUGUAACUUCUGCCUCGGUGGUAACUGUCACUCCUCUGGCUCCGGCUUCGGCUCCGACUCCUGCUGUAGUAGCUAUCAUAAGUGUAAGACCUGCUUCAACAGCAACAACACACACUAAAUUUUCCCAUUCAAAUAUUCACAGAGAUUUCCAUUUCUUUGUAAGUCUCUAAGAGUGUUUUAACUUAGAACACAGGCACUCAAUGACAGUGUGAGGACACAGUUGUAUAACAAGUACUAGAAACAUUUAGUAAUUGCCCUAAAUCAGACUUACCAUGUUAAAGAGAAAAAUGUUUCUUUUCUGCAUUGAAAAAUAUCACAAAAUUAACACUGAGUUAGUUUGACUGAAUCUCAUAGAUCUUAUUAGGCAAUUAUAUUCAACAAACACCUGGUAUUACCAUUUUAUAUUAGUUAUAAUUCUGACACUGAAGUAUAAUGGGCUGACAGAUAAAAACUGUCAAAAAGAUCUCAUUUACAAAUGGUAUGAUUACAGAAGACACAUAUACAUUUAACUUCUUCAAUAAAAAAUACAAUGUGACCUGGGCAUGGUGAUAUGUCUCUGUAAUCCCAAUGACUUGGCAGGCUGAGGUGAGAAGAUCACUAAUUUCAAGCCCAGCCUCAGCAACUUAGCAAGACCCUAUCUCAAAAUAAAUAAAAAAGAGGGGCUGGGGUUGUAGCUCCGCACCAUGUAUAAAUAAGUGAAUAAAAUAAAGGUCCAUCAACAACUAAAAAAAUAUUUUAAAAAUAAAUAAAUAAGAGUUGGGGGACUUAACUCAGUGGUUAAGUGCCUGGGUUUAAUCCCUAGUAUAAAAAACAAAAGAACAAAAAAACCAACAACAUGCUAGGUGGUGGGUAUAGUUCGGUGGUAGAGCAUAUGCUUACUAGCAUGUGUGAAGUCUUGGGUUCAAUCCCUGACACCAAAAUCACAACAAAACAAAACAAAAAAAAAAAUGUCCACCACACUUUGAACUGAGAGUUUAUAAAAUGAAGCCUCUCCAAUUUUCCCCUGUGGGUGGGUACCCAAUUCCUGUCCUUACCUGGAGCGACUGUGGGGAUCAUACGAGCUGCUCCUGGAUCUGCUCCUGCUAGAUGUCCUAGUAUGAAUCACAGGAAAGACCAUCACCUUGUGGAUCAGAGUAAGGCAGGCAAUAUAAAAAUUCUAGACUAUUUUUUUGUCCAUUAAAGUGAAAAUAGAGCAACAUCUUGUAACUAUAUAUUUUUAAAUAUUUUUUUAAUUGUAGAUGGACAUGAUACCUUUAUUUUACUUUUUUUAUGUGGUGCCAGGGAUCAAAUCCAGUGCCUCACGCAUACUAGGCAAACACUCUACCCCCGAGCCACCACCCCAGCCCCAACUAUAUUUUCUUUUUAUAUCCAAGUACACUAGAAUCUUUAAAAGCCAUUGGUUUCUGAAGAAAGAUUAAGUUUUAUACAGUUCUUCCAUGAGAUGUACAUAAAGUCACUGGAGAGGGUCUGUGAACUAGAUGGGGAGGGGGAAAGGUCCAAAUAGAUAGGUCACUCAUAAAUGAAGUUACAGCAGUGGAGCACACCUCAGAGUCCAAAGGGGGAAAGAAGCUGGUGAAUUAGAAAUGUGGCUAACACAGACUUCUCCCUCUUGGUCUACUCCCUAUAAUCCUAUCACAAUGCUAACCCCAAGGCAAGGGGUGAUUAUAGCUAGAGACUACAGUUAAGGAGAUGCAUUUGGAGAAGGCAGAAGUAGUGGUCACAGGCUUCUUUUUUUUUUCUCAUGCCUUACUGUGAUAAGGUCCCAUCAGAGGACUAUCCAAAAGAAUUCCAUAAGUCUUUGAAAUAAAAAGCUAAGAGAGCUGGGGUUGUGGCUCAGUGGUAGAGGGCUUGCCUAGCAUAUGUGAGGCACUGGGUUCAUCCUCAGCACCACAUAAUAUAAAUAAAUAAAAUAAAAGCACUGUGCCCACCUACAACUAAAACAAUAUAAAUAAAUAAACAAACAAAUAAACAAAAAACUAGAGGAGACGAUAGGCCAGUCUGAUGUUCAGCAAUGAUAAGGUUCUUCUUAAUGGCUACACCACUCUGCCUAUGCAAACCCUUCAAAAGCAGUCCUGAUAGAGACCACAGUGUGGGGCAAGACCACAAACUCACCUGUGACUUUUGUAACUCCGAUAGGAACUGCUCCGGCUUCGGGUUCGACCUCUGCUGUACCAUCCUCUGCUCCGACUUCUAGAAUAGCUUCUUGAUCUACAAUUAAAACAAGUGAGAAAACACACGAUUAUAUUAACUCAUAAUGUUAAAAUUAAUUACAGGUGGAGGACAGGAAUACAAACAAGAAGAAAGGUCUCUCACAAACUCUGCAUAGUGGACAUGACAGUGACAUUGCUAAUGGGGCAAUCUGGAAAUGAACCAUAAAAGGGUGGUAUAGAUGUGUUCAUAGGAGCCCCAGUUGUAAUACCAAAAGAGGAGAUGGUCCAAAUCUCCAUUACAGUUAUGUGUAUCAACAGAGAUACAGGUCAGGACUACAACACUGAGUGAAAAGGGCAAGUAUAGAACAUACACAUGUGUAAAAGACUUUUAUUUAUAAAAAAUUCUAGAACACAUAAAAAUAACACUGUGUGAGAAUAGAAACAUCUGUAAUAAAACUGUAAAGAGAAAAAAUAAAACAAUAACACAUAUUUUAGAAUAAUGGUUAACUCUAGGAGAGAGGAAAAAUGCCCAGCCUCAACAAGACCCUAUCUCAAAAUAAAUAAAAAAGAGGGGCUGGGGUUGUAACUCAGCAACAACCAGAGGAUGGUACAGCACUGGCACCCCAGAGCUCUAUUUUUCAAGAUGACAGGUACAAAGUUAUACAUUUUAUUACUUUUAUACUUUAAUCAUGUCUUAUUUUUAAUAUUAAAUAUUUAAUAAAAUAUUUAAGAACCCAGUUCUUUUCCUCUGAAUUCACUUGGCUCCCUACCUUCCUCCCUCUACUUUAAACCUGACAUUCAGGAAUAGUGUGUAUAGCUACUUAUGCAAUAUCUCCAUAGAUUUUAUUCAUGAUGUACUUAUGUUUUGGAAUAUACGACCUGCUUCCAGUUUAUCUGCAAGAGAAUGAAUAUAGUAUGUUCUAAUGAGAUUCUAGUCAAUUUAUGCAAACAAAAAUUACAGAUAAAUCCUAUGAGGUGACUGAAAAAGAAUUAAGACAUAGUCUUCAAAUUCAAGCAGUUUACAGCAUAGUUGGGGGGCCAGGCCCAGGUGGGUAACCAGAAAGGAAGGGAGGGCAGUGCCCAGGCUUAACCAUCUCAGUCUACUACCCACUGAGCAAAUUCCUUAGCAUUUUUAUGCCUAUUGUUUCCAUUUAUUAAAUGAGAUACCACCUACUCCAAAGUCAAGGGUAGAAAGGCAAAUGAAGAAGAAUGGCUUGCAUCACCAAUAGAUCAUAGCUGUCUAAGUAAAAAUGGCAAAGCUGAUCAUGAGCAAACAGGAAGCUCGAGUAGCUGAACAGGCAGCCACCAUCCAGUGAUAAGAACACAGAGAGAAAAAGCCAGGAUUCACCAGCUCUCUGGGCCUAGAAGGAGUCGGGACAGGAGGAGGGAGAGCCUGUGACACAGGAUGAAAUGGUCUGAGAAGAAUGAGGAGAACUGGCCCAGGGCUUCCAGUAGGUGGGGAAAUAGUGAGUUCAGGGAACAGUGUGGAGAGGAGGCACAGAAGACAGCAAGCAAGCAACGGAGGAGUGAAGUAGAGAAAGUCACUGUAGAUGGCAAGUAGUGGCUCCUUUUAUAAGAAGUCUGGGUGAGUAAAGGAAAAAGAAAUGCUAAUGAAUACGGAAAAAAAAAAAAAAUGAUCAAAAAACCAGUACAGGGCUAAGGCUGGGGCUGAGCAGCACAGCGGUUGCCUAGUAUGCGUGACGCACUGGGUUCGAUCCUGAGCACCACAUAAAAAUAAAAUAAAGGUAUUCUGUCCAUCUACAACUACAAAAAAAAAAAAAAUUAAAUUAAAUCAGUACAAAUGAUACAAAGCAAUCACAAUAUAAUAGGGGAUAUGAAUAAAACAGGUAAAUCAAUUAAAUAUUUCUAUGGAAAAGAAAAGGCAAUGUAACCACUUAUUACCUCUUACCACCACCAAUUUUCUUUUUUUGUUUUGUUUUGUUUUUAACUCUUUCUCUGCUCUCUCCUGUCUACACUAAUGACAAAAAGUAAGAAGCAACCUAGAAGAUGAAAAAAAUCUAAAGAUGAUUUUGACAUCUUCUUCCCUAUUGCCACAAAUAAUUAUUUAUAGAUGCAUGUCUUGGUAAGAUAACUUUUGACUCUCUGGCACUCACCUUCCCACUCACCUUGCCAGUAAAGUGGAAGUUAGGCAACUCAUUUCCACUUUUGAUAGUUUUCUAUAACAAUAGUGUUUUAAACUGAGACCAAAUUUCUUCUGAAAUGCCCUAAGUCCCAUAUUCUAUGGAUCUUGCAAAAUAAGACUUCUUAUUCCUUUUCAGAUAUUUGGAAAUAGUAAUCUCUUCCCUAACUCUUAUGUUUUUCCCAGCUAAACAAUAACAAACUCUCCUUGAAAGGGAAAAAAAAAAAAGGAAAGAGAAUACUGCUUACCGAUAAGAUGAUGUAGAACUUCUUGAUCGACUUCUAGAGUGACUAUAGGAGACAGACCUUGUUCUGUGUCGUGAUUUGGUUUCAGAUUUACUUCGAGAUCUACUUGGACUCCUGGACUGACUAUCACCAUCCCGACUAGGCGUCUGUUCAUCACUUGAACUCUCCUGAUUUCUUGGCCUCCGGUUUAGGCGAGCUGUCUUCCUUACUUCAUCAAACAGAGACCCAGGCCGAACUUUAUUUUUGCUUUUAAUUUCUAUUCUCAAGCCCUGAGGUUUCAAUUCAGGUACAGCAGUCAACGCCUUUACUUCUAUGGCACUAGAUGUGGUGGCUGUAGGUGCUGCCAGGUUCCCCACACCUUGCAGGGGCUUCCAUUUAUUAUCUGUGAGGUGGAUCUGGCUCUUCUCAGCUACCUCCUUCUUCCCAGUACUUUCUACAGCACUGGGCAAGCUGACAGAGUUGCCGUCCUGUUUCCCCACUUCACCUAAGGUUUUGUUUUCAGACACACUGCCUUCUUGUUUUGUCUCCUCUGUUUCAGGAUGUUCUAUAUGUAUGUCUUGCUUUAGAACCACACUUAUCUCUGGGGUGUCAAGCCUUGAAUUUGCUAGAGGGGAAGACCCCUCUACCUUCGCUGGGGAAUUCCUAUCAGGAGUGCAAAUCUCCAUAUUAUCAUCUGUUUGAAGCACAUCCUCUGUUCCACUUGGAACACUUUCUUCAAUCUGCUGGGUGUUUGGGGGUGAACUGGCAGCAUUUUCCUCAGCAUUUAAAGCAGUGGGACAAGUGCUGGGCUUACUAUCACCUUUAGUAAGCUGGUCAAGACCUGAUGACGUAGUCAUUGUAUUAUGUUUACCUGAAAGGCUGCCCUCGUCACAGGAUUUAUCAGUUUUUGGAAUAUGAUCUUUUAUGGUUUCACAGUUUUCAGAAAUUUGGGUUUUUUCUUUUGAUUCCUGAGUAACUUGCUUUUCAUUAAUCUCCUCCUCCUCCUCUUCACCAAAUUCUAGUGGAGGCUGCCAGUGAAAUGCCUGUUUUCGUUUUGGAGCCUUGUGUUUUUUUUCCUUUUUCCCUUUCUGUUUUUCUUUUGCUUUUUUAGUGUGUUCCUUUCUAAGAUUUUCCUUUGACCCAUGUUUGUGCUUUCGUGGCUUUCCUUUAUUGUUUUCUGAGUUGGAACAGGACCCCUCAGAAUCAGAAGUUGAUGGCCGCUGUUUACUCGAUUUCCAAGCACUGGUAUCAUCAGGCAGUGAAGUAUUUGCUGAAGAUUUUGUCUUGGGUUUUGCUCUGAUGUGACUUUCACUAACCUCUGAUUCAGAAUCUGAUGUGGCCUCACCUUCCUCCUUAUCAGACGAUCGUCGGGAAUCGUUUUUACUGUUUUUAGUUCUCUCUCGCUCUGAAUUUGACUCAGAGUCCCAUUUACUCCCAGCAUAAUUCUUCCUUUUGGACUUACUGCCAUUUCUAAAGUGAUCAGAAAGAUUCUCUUUCAAAGUUCUUUUUUUGGUACGAGGGCAUUCCCGUUCAGGCUUGGGUUUCUCUUCAUCUCUGCUUUUUUCCUGCUUGUCGUUCAUUAUUUCCAUUUUGCCCUGCUUCUCUCUUUCUUGGACUGACUGUGUAACCUGAACACUUGACUGUUCACUGUCUGAAGAAUAAUCUAAAGAUGACCUGCUUUCACUAUACUUUCUCUGACAUGAAGACUUCUCUCUACCUUUGACAUAUUUACUGCGAAGUGUCUUUUCAGAGCUGCUGCUGUGCCUUUUAUUUGAAGUAUUAUUUUUUUUCCCAUUGGAUCUGAAUUUCCUCUUGGCUCGUCUUUCAUCAUUACUGCUAACAGAAGUGUAUGAAGAUGAUCUACUAAACGGUGAACGAUCACUGUACUUACUUCGUGAAUGAGAUCUAGAAGAUGGAGACCUAGACCUUGAAUGUGAACUAGCUAGACUACGAGACCUUGUAUAUGAUCUAGAAUAAGAUCUACUCCUAGAAGAUCUGCUACCUGACCUUGGUGAACUUUCAGAACUUCUAUCACUAUAUUUUGAAUAAGCACUCCGAUCACUUUCUGAAUUUUUUUCUCUUUUACGGUAGGAUGAUGAACUACCAGUCUCUUUAAUGUUUGCUGAACUAUAAGUGCUUUGAAUGGGCAACAAAUGGGUUGCUUUUGCUUUCAUUUCCUGAAUUCGCUCAUAAGAGGGCUUCCAGGGUUUCUGUCCAGGUUUCCACCUUGAAGGGGGGGGACUGUCACUCAACGGUAUUACAGGAAUAUUUUCUGCUACCACUGUCUGUACUACUACAUUUUCACUUUGUGGUACUGUUGCCCUUAAAGGUUCUGUUUUAACUGGUUUAUUUUCACUUAACUGAGAAGCUGUUCUUCUUGGUGAUUUUGAUGCUGUCCUUUGGCGCCCUGACUUGGAACUUGACCUGGACUUUGAUCUACUUUGAGAAUGUGAUGAAGAUUUUGAUGCAGUCCUUGAUCUUGAGCUUCCUCUAGAAUAAGACCGUGAAUGAGACUUGGAUCUGUAGGAAUCUCUACUGGAAUGGGUUGAAGUGCUCUGGUCAUCCUUGUCAGAUUUAGACCAGUCCCUCUUACAUGAGUGAUGAGAUGAAAAGGAGGAAGAUCGAGAUCUCCUUUCUCUAUCACAAGAGGACUUCAUUUGUCGAGUGGAAGAUUUUGAAGAUUCAAUGUCAGAAGAAUCACCGGGAUAAUAGGGAUGCACCACCAACAUGGGCACCAGGAGCAAUUUUUGAGGGAGAGUCAAACUACGUUCCCCAACAAUUUUGUUGAGUCUCUGCAGAUACCAGAAAGAUAUCUAAUUUUUUUGGUGUGGUACUGGGGAUGGAUCCCUGGACCUCACAGUUCAGCAAGAGCUCUACCACUCAGUGAGUCACACACCCAGCCCUUAUAGUUUUUUUUUUUUUUUUUUAAGAGAAAACUCUUUUUCUUAAGCAGCUAGCAUGACUUACUUUUUCUCUACCUCACAAAGGUAAUCAAGACUAUAACCUAAGACUGUAAUUAAGCUAUGCAAGACAAAAAUUAAGAAAAAAUUAUAAAAAAACGGACUGAGGCUUUACGAUUUUAGUGGUAAUGUCAGGGCUUAAAAUUGAGAGCUCUGAGCUCCAGUGGGUUGCUCCAACAUAGCAGGUGUUUGCCUUUUUCUACUUCUCCCAAUGCAAGCCACUCUGUCAGAUGCUUGCAAAGAAAAAGAGAAUUUCCCACAAAGAACUGCACAGGCCGGGUGUGUGUGUGUGUAUGUAUGUGUAUAUAUAUAUAUAUAUAUAUUUUUUUUUUUUCCCCUAAAUAUUUAUUAUUUAGUUGUAGUGGACACAAUACCUUUAUUUUUAUGUGGUGCUGAGGAUCAAACCUAGCGCCUCACACAUGCUAGGUGAGUGCUCCACCUCUGAGCCACAAACCCAGCCCAGUAUAUUUUUUCAUUAGCUAUUACAGGACCAGCCUCAUUUCUAACACAGAUAUUCCACUGUGAUGUUAUCUCUGAGAUGAAGAGAUAAGUAUACUCCUAAAGAUGCAACCAUCUCUGGGGACAGAAAUAAAUGCACACACUGGGUAUAGGUUUUCCCAUCAACCAAUUAAUUCAUCAGUGACUCUAAAACACAUGGCUAGGAAAGAACAUGUUUUUGUUUUUUGUUUUUUUGCUGUGAGCUUCACUUAAGUUGCUGAGGCUAGCUUUGAACUUGUGAUCCUCCUGCCUCAGCCACCUGAGCAGCUGGAAUUAUAGGCAUGUGCCACAACACCCAGCUAAUAUAAUUUUGAAGUCCUGAUUACUUCUAAAAUUGAGUAAGGGUUCUUUAAACAUUCAAUAGAGAGAAGUCAGAAUUUUGAUUUAAAAGCUCCCAAAGCCAUUCAUCUCACCUAGUUAACGGCACUACUUUCACCCUCUGGUCACAGUCUAAUUCUGACUACAAAUCUUACUGAAAAGUCCAGGAUUAGGCCUAUAAUUGCCUUAACAUUUAAAUAAAGCAGAUACUGGAUUGUGCUUAUUCUCAAAGCUCUUACUUAUCUCCUUUACUCCAUUUUUCUCCACUAGGUGGUCUGUAGGCUCUUAAUCUCUGCAUUUCCUCUUUCCAGUGAGGAGGAGUUUCACUGCUGUCAUCAUUAUCUGACUCAGAACAGGAUCUUGAUCUUGGAGGUGUGUGAUAGCGCUUUAAACAAAAGAAGAGAAACUAUUUUUAAAAUGCCUCUCAAUUACAAUCUACUACAGGACAGAGACAUGUAAAAGAUCCAAUCUCCGAUUCCUUCAAAGGCAAUCAUGUAAGUACUAAAACAAUGAUCUGAAGUUAUUUCAGACAUAAGUCCUUGAGAUGGGAAAGGCAGAUGUUUACCUGUAAACCCAUAUGAAAUCUUACUCUUCAAAGUCUUAACAGUUACAUUCAUUACCUGAGAUUACUCAAUAUACUAAGAUUUCUCAACAUACUCAACAAUUGUUUCACAUGUUCAUUUCAUCCUUGUUUCAUCCAAACACAGACAUAAAAUUUGACCCAACAGCAGUACUUUCUCAUAGCUAUGGAAACUACAACUAAGUCCUUGAACAAUUUUUGUAUUAUAAUCAAAAAUCAAAACUAGGAUUUUACUUAUAGGUUAAAAAAAAGUUACUGUUUAGGUAAGUAAUUUGAAAAAAGAAGUCUUAACACACAUACAAUUGUACCCCUUCCUUUAAUCUUCCGUCCAGACUUUGAUACAGAUGGUUUUUGAUCACUUAUAAUGGGUGCAACAUCUGGAAUCUUCCUAGAAAAGAAGUUAUGAAAAUUAAAAAUUAGCAAAUGUUAGGCAUUCCCCCCUCCAUGUUUCAAUGCAGAAUUUAUGCUUUUGUGCAGUUUUCUAUUACUUUGUGACAUGAAAAAUCACCUGAAAUUCUGAUUUUAAUAUCCAUAAAUAAAAAUUUAUUGAAACACAGCCACUUCCAUCUCUUCACCUAUUUUUUCAGGCUGUUUCUAAUGUGGUGCUCUCAUUGUUUUACACUGCUACAAGGAGUGCUAGGAGUAUGUCAGGCUAGGUGCAGUGGUGCACACCUGUAACCCCAACUACUAGGGAGGCUGACAUGACAAGAUAACAAGUUUGAGGCCAGGUUGGGCAACUUACAAGACCCUGUCUCAAAAAAGAUAAGAAAAAAAAAUUGGGUUGAGGUGUAUCACAGUGAUAGAGUGGUUGUCUAGCAUGUACAGGCCUUAGGUUCAAUCCCCAGCAAAACACACACAAAUACACAUACACAUACACACACACACACACACACAUAUCAUAGGAUUUCAAGUACUAUGCCUAUCACUCAUGUGUAUGAAAAAUGUUUUCCAAGUUGAAAUGUAUAAAAUCUCACUUCAAAUCAGCAUCACCAGAUGAAUGCUAUUAUCUACUUUAAUAGGAAAUUUUGGACCCUAAUUAAGUGAAGUCACUCCCCCACAAAAGAAUUCUAUUCUUCUCAUAAAAAAGACCUGCCUUAAAAAAAAAAAAAAAAAAAAAUGAUACUCAGGCCAGCCAUAGUGGUGCACUCCUGUGAUCCCAGGUACUUAGCAGGCUAAGGCAGGAGGAUCACAUGUUUAAGAGCAGCCUGAGCAAUUUAGCGAGACCCUAUCUCAAAAUAAAAUUAAAAGGGAUGGGGACAUAGCUCAGUGGUAGAAUGCUUACCUAACAUGUGCUAGGCCCUUGGUUCAAUCCCCAGUAAUCGGUGCGGGGGAGAUGUUAAGUUUUGUUAUAUUAUAUUUUGCAUUUUGUUGAUACAACAUUUGCGGUGAGCAGGAGGGAUAGCUCAGUGGUAUAACGUGUGAGGCCCCUGAGUUCAAUCUCCAGCAUCCCUUAAUGCCCCUUUUUUUUUUUUUUUUUUUUUUUUAGUUUUUGAUAGCACCAUAUAUAAAUAAAUAAAAUAAAGGUCUGAGUAUCGAACCCAGUACCUCACACAUACCAGGCAAGUGGGCUACCACUGAGCCAACAGCCUCAGCCUCAGCCCUUGCUGCAAUUUUUUUAAAGGAAUGGAACAAUAACCUUAUGUGAAGACCUAACUACAAAUAGGGUCACUUACAUACAUUCUUGGCUUUCAAAAUAACUAUUCAUAUAGAUCUUAUCAAUUACACUAGCUAUUAUCUAUUUCUGUAUACAAUGAAUUCUUUAAAUAAUUGUUAAUUCAAGCCUAAUAUACAAAUACAUUAGUAUUUUUAGACCAAAUCUAAAGCUUUUAGAUUAGUUUUUAUAAUGCAGAGAAGUUAUCAAUGAGCCAAUUUAAUAACUGUAACAAAUUUGAUAUUAAAUUUUUUUUGUUUGUUUUUAGUUGUAGAUGGACACAAUACCUUCAUUUUUAUUUGUUUUUAUUUUUAUGAGGUGCCAGGGAUCGAACCCAGUGCCUCACGCAUGCUAGGCAAGUGCUCUGCCACUGAGCCACAACCCUGGCUCCUGAUAUUAAAUUAAUCUCCAAUCACCACGUUAUUACUUUUGCAGUAUUAAAGUUAAAAUACAUUUCAUCCCUCAGUUGGACCCAGAGUCCAACUAACCCUCUAUUCUGAUAACCAAAACCUCAUCCCUUUAAAUGAAAGGUCAAGGUAAACGAUCAGUAAUCAAAUCUUUUCUAGACCUCCAAUAAAACCUCUCCACUCUACCACUGAGCCACAACCCCAGCACCAUCAAAUGUGAAUUCUAAAAGUUGAGGUACAUGUCAUUUAUUAAUCUGGCAUCUCCUAUAAUAUCUUCCAAAGUGUUCUGAACAUGGAUUAUAUUUAGUCAAUGAGUGUGAAACUGUAAUAUGCCUAUGAAAUUUGUCUAUCAGUGUGGGAAGAGAAGGAAGGGAGCAUGGGGUUAGAAAUGAUAGUGGAAUGUGAUGAACAUUAUUAUCCAAAGUACGUGUAUGAAGACACGAAUUGGUGUGAAUAUACUUUGUAUACAACCAGAGAUAUGAAAAACUAUGCUCUAUAUGUGUAAUAAGAAUUAUAAUGCAUUCUGCUGUCACAUAUAAAUAAAAUUUUAAAAAUAAAAAAAAUUUUAAAAGAAUAAAAAGUUAAAAGCUAGGAAAAAAAAAAAGAAAGAAAAAAUUGUCUAUCAGAGAAAUAAAAGUACAAAAGUUAGUCAUCCUACUUACGGUUCAGGCUCCACAGUGACCACAGGCAUAUCUCUUCUCAGUAAAAAUCUGUUCUCAGGCACUGGAGGAAUCUCUUCUGGGCGGACUACAGGCUUUUCCCGUUUAGCGUUUGAAUCAACUGAUCUUUUCUCAUUUGUAUCACUCCUCUCAGAGUGACUGUCAAGGAUCAAACAAGUCACCAAAUAAGAUGAGUCAUGCUUGAAUUUCAUAAUAAUAAAAGCACAGAAAACUAGACAUUAAUGGCAAAACUACUGACAGCUUACAAGUCUCAAAGGGUAGUAUAAUUUAACAUAUAAAACAUCAACCCAGAGAAAUACAAUUCUGACAAUAAAAUUAUUGAAUGAUCUUAACUUAUUUUUCUUUUUACAAGUUUCAGGAAUUAUUUUCACCUGGAAAAACACAAAUCUUGAAUAUAAACGCAUAUGCUACUCCAAGAUGUCAGAUUUCAAUUUAGUUACAAUUUUAAAAAAUGCUAUGCUUGUCAUCCAUUAGAAAUAAACUGGAUUUACAUAGUCUCAUGUACUUUGCCCAUUCCAGGGUGAGUGUGUUUUAGUUAAGACUGAAUUGGUGUUUCAUACUUACUCUUUUGGGCUCAUUAUAUGUUUGCUCCUUGGUUCUUCUGAGCUGCUUGCUUCCUUUCUUCUCCUUUUAGAAUGUUUAACUUUUGGCCUCCUCUUAUGUUUCCUUCUUCUGCUUCUCCCAUGUUCAAUUUCACUUUCUGAAGAUGAUUCGGAAGAUGAAGAGGAACUGGAAGAGGAAUCCGAGUCUUCUGAAUGUGUUGGUUUCUUCCUUUUUUUCUCAAAAACUUUUAAUAAAUAUUAACAAAAAUAUUAGUAAUGAAUUCCUGUGUCUACCUUUAAGAGUAAAAAAUUGAUUACGUAAAAUUAUAUGAUAGUUUAUAAUAAAUCACAUACGAUUCUAGUUGCUUCAUGUAUAGUAAACUAAAAAAGAAAUUUAAAUAAACUUUUUAACAAGUUGAUAAUACAA